rnacentral:lncRNA from 1 species
ACUCCGUCAUACCAUACACCGAUUUCAAGGCCAGCCUGCUCUACAGAGCAAGUUCUAGAACAGCUAGAGCUACACAGAGAGAUCCUGUCUUCAAAACCAACAAAAAUGAGAUUUAUUUAUCAUAUUGAUGCGAGUACACUGUAGCUGUCUUCAGACACACCAGAAGAGGGCAUCAGAUCCCAUCACGGGCAAUUGUGAGCCACCAUGUGAUUGCCGGGAAUUGAACUCAGGACCUCUGGAAGAGCAGUCGGGGCUCUUAACCGCUGAGCCAUCCCUCCGGCCCGAGUUUUGCUUUCAUUAUUAGGACAUUUCAUUACAGCAGUAAGUUAAAGAGUCAACCUCUGCACCCCUUGAACUGCCUGCCUUGGCUGGGCACGGGCAGUGGGUUGUUUUUAAGGUGGAAACGCCUGCUAUUUCGGAGUUGAAGUUACCUCGGCCCCAAGCUUCUGUGCUCCCUAGGAGCAGGGAGGAGGAGGAGGAGGAUGGUAGAAACUUCACCUGGAACUGUGGCAGUCUCUUUUGCUCUGCCAGAGUGUGCCUGUGCUCGUGAACCACACUAGACCAUAUACAACCUUGGUUAACUGUAAGGGGACACAGCUCCCAUAAAUGCAUCAUCCAUACCGGGGUAGAACUCUGUAGUGAUGUAGCUGUUUCGGGGGCGGGGGUGCAGUGUUCAGCAUUUACCAUCCUGUAAACAACCUCUCACCUCUGCACCGUAUAUAAAACCCGAUAAAUUCAUUCGCCAAGGUGGGCUUUUGGUAGAACCAGUAGUCACUGGUGCCGUCUGAGGUAAACAGGCCUUUGUUCGCGUCUCCUGUUGGGAGCUAUGCCCUUAAAAACCCUCCAUUAUUGAUGUUUAAAAUAUUAUAGUUAGAGUUAAGUAUGACUGGGUUCAUGGAAAAUCCCCAGCCAGCUGCAGAAGGCAAAUACAAAUCUGGUGGCAGGAUGCCUAACGAUAUGACAAACUUGGGACCUCUCUGAGAAACCAACGUCCUGUUGACAUCAGCUGAUUGCCUGACCACAAGAGCACAGUGUCCUUGGCUUGCGUAAAUAUUUCCUGCUUCCCUGCUCCCUUUGUUACCCCUGCUAUGGUAUAAAUUCAGCCUUGGGAAAAAGUAAAAUGUGUCCCCUUGAUCAG